rnacentral:rRNA from 1 species
GUCAGAAAUGGCUGCUAAUACCGCAUAAGCGCACAGGGCCGCAUGGCCCGGUGUGAAAAACUGAGGUGGUAUAAGAUGGACCCGCGUUGGAUUAGCCAGUUGGCAGGGUAACGGCCUACCAAAGCGACGAUCCAUAGCCUGCCUGAGAGGGUGAACGGCCACAUUGGGACUGAGACACGGCCCAGACUCCUACGGGAGGCAGCAGUGGGGAAUAUUGCACAAUGGGGGAAACCCUGAUGCAGCGACGCCGCGUGAAGGAAGAAGUAUCUCGGUAUGUAAACUCCUAUCAGCAGGGAAGAAAAUGACGGUACCUGACUAAGAAGCCCCGGCUAACUACGUGCCAGCAGCCGCGGUAAUACGUAGGGGGCAAGCGUUAUCCGGAUUUACUGGGUGUAAAGGGAGCGUAGACGGCAUAACAAGUCUGAUGUGAAAGGCUGGGGCUUAACCCCGGGACUGCAUUGGAAACUGUUAAGCUUGAGUGCCGGAGGGGUAAGCGGAAUUCCUAGUGUAGCGGUGAAAUGCGUAGAUAUUAGGAGGAACACCAGUGGCGAAGGCGGCU